rnacentral:rRNA from 1 species
CCUACGGGUGGCAGCAGUGAGGAAUAUUGGACAAUGGACGAGAGUCUGAACCAGCCAAGCAGCGUGAAGGAUGACUGCCCUCUGGGUUGUAAACUUCUUUUAUAUGGGAAUAAAACAGGGUAUGCAUACCCUCUUGUAUGUACCAUAUGAAUAAGGAUCGGCUAACUCCGUGCCAGCAGCCGCGGUAAUACGGAGGAUCCGAGCGUUAUCCGGAUUUGUUGGGUUUAAAGUGAGCGUAGGUGGAUUGUUAAGUCAGUUGUGAAAGUUUGUGGCUCAACCGUAGAAUUGCAGUUGAAACUGGCAGGCUAGAGUACAGUAGAGGUGGGCAGAAUUCGUGGUGUAGCGGUGAAAUGCUUAGAUAUCACGAAGAACUCCGAUUGCGAAGGCAGCUCACUGGACUGCAACUGACACUGAUGCUCGAAAGUGUGGGGAGCAAACAGGAUUAGAUACCCGAGUAGUC